GAGGUGGAGGGCACUAAAUCCAUGUGAAGAGAGAGAGAGAGCCAGGAUUCAGAACUAAGGGCAUCCAUCCCCUGACCCUGUGUCUUUCACUGGGAGUAUACCCUGGCUCCCUGGAAAAGAGUGUCUCACAGGCAGAAGCAAGUGCCAUCGCUGCAGCUGUACAAAGAAGCCUCUCCUACAAACUGAUUUACACCUGCUAUUACUAUUUAACUUUGCCUUGGAUAUGUUUAGGAAAUACAGGAAGAACAUAAAGUUAAGUAAUUGAUAUGAAUAUUUGACAAUAUUUUCUUCCAACCAAUGACAUGAUUGCAUUAUUAGAAAGCCUAGGACACUGUAGUUUAAAAAACGAAAAACAAAAAACAAAACAACGACAAAAAACCCUCAAAUUAAUGAGGAAUUUGGUAAGAUAGCAAGACCUACAAAAAUGCACACAAAAAUUAGUCACUUCUCCAUACUAUAGUAUGUUCAUCAAAAACUAGAAAUGA